UGGCCAACAGGUGACAAUCUGCCCAAAUGCAUACCAGCGGGUCUCCUCCCCAAGUUGCUCCACAAGCAUAAAGUUUGGCUGGGGAAAAAAGCUUUUUUAAUUUCUGCAUCUGACAAUGUGAUCACUCCCUGGUAUUCCCCUCUUCAGAGAUAUGACCAUGGGUGUGGAUGAGAGCGGAGGAGCAUCUUCAUUCUGUCUUCCUAAUAUUUACACGGGAAAAGAAGAUGCCUGUAGAUAUUUUCUAACAGUUUCAUUUUCUGUCUUUGUGACCCUGUAUCUAUGACAGGAAAAGCCAACAGCUCGAGAUAACACGUCUCACCAUUUUUUGCUUGUGGCCCAAGGCAGAAUACAACAGCCACGGUUCCCUCAGGCCUAGCGGUUUC
rnacentral:lncRNA from 1 species